GCUAUCCCGCAGUUAUGCGUCCAGUGUCCCCUCUAUUCUGGGUCCCUCCUCUUUGUAGUCCCACUGCCCACCCCAAGGCCCGGCACCCAGCUGCCGCCCGAAAUACUUGUUGAAUUAAUGAAACAAGGCGAUCACAAAGGAAGGGAAAAUGGAACGAGGAAUGAAAUUUAAUGAAAUCUCAGGAUGCCCAAGAUCAGUAAGGCUAUGCAACAUUGCUUUAGAAUUCUGGCAUCGAUAUUUAAAGGCAGGGGAUUGGUGGAUUCCUUUAGGAAGGAAAUGAUCAGCCCAAGAGGAAAGCAAAGCAAAGCGAAGCAAACAAAACAAAACAAAACGUGACAGUUGGGGAGUCCUUCGAUGAAACAGGACUGAAUUAUUCUUCAGUGAAGCCCUGUCUUCAAUAAGCACUAGUCUCUCUCACACACACAAAUGUAAGCCUUCUCUCUCCUUGUUGUUAUUAUUUUUUUUAAUUUCAGAAAUGAGGAUCUCGCUAGUACUAUCUCUGUUUUCUUCAGUCUCAAGUGAUCCUGGGCUCAAGUGAUCCUCCCACCUCAGCCUCGCAAGUGGCUAGGAUUACAGGUGCAUGCCACUGCACCUGGCUGGGCUUCUCUCUUAAUAUGAGCCAAAAUAAGAAUGACAAGAGAUUUCAGAAAAAUUUUUAACAUCAGAAAGGCCGAAACAAAGAAAAAGGUAACACGAACAAAACAAACCAUGUAGGAAGUAGAAGAAAAAAACAUGUAUUUAUCAUCAGUGAAAUAAGAAAAGAUAUUACAUCCAUGAAACACACAAAAAAAGUUAUAAAAAGCAAUAUUUGAAAAACAAAAUAAAGGCCUUAGACAUUUUAAAAUGUGAUGCAAGAAACAAAAAUUUAAAUGUUCUAUGAAAAGAGUUAAGAAAAUGUCUUAAAAAUAUAGAACAACAACAAGAAGAUGUAACAUAAGUGAGAAAACAUACAGUCUACAUGUCUAUCAUUUGAAUAAUAUAAAUACCUGAAAAAAAUCAGAGCAAAUGGAGGGGAAAAUUGCCAAAUAAAUAAUGCAAUAUUUUUCAGAAUGAAAGGACAUAUUUCCAGAUUGAAUGAAUCCCACCAACUACUCAGCAUCCCACAUUAAAGUAGACUCAUGCAGGAGUACAUCAUCACGAAAUUUUGGAACACUGGGAACAUGUAGACCUUAGACACAUCCUGACUGUUUUAAAAAGCUUACAAAGGAUUGAAAAUCAGAAUGUCAUCAGACUUCUUACAACAAGUUAAACUGCAGAAAAAUGGAGCAAUGUCUUCAAAGUUCUUAGAGAAAAUUUUUUCCAAGCUCUAAUCUGUACCCUAACAACUAAUAUAGUUUGAAGUUAGAAUAAGGACAGUUUCAGACAAGCAAGAUCCAAGCAAAUUUACAUUCUAUGCAUCAUUUCUCAGAAAGCUAAAGGAGGAUGUACUCAUUAAGUAAAGAGUAAACUAAGGGCAAGAUAUGGAAUCCAAGGGAGAGACCUCACUCAAGAGAGUCAAAGGGAAUUCCCUGGAUGAUAGCAAAAGAAAAUCCCCAAGGCAACAGCUGUGUUGCAUCCUUGAAUAUAUUCUGUACCCAUUAACCUUCCCUACUUUCUCUCCCCUCCCCACUAUCCUUCCUAGCCUCUGGUAAUCAUUGUUCUAUUCUUUAUCUCCAUGAGUGCAAUUGUUUUAAUUUUUAGUUUCCACAAAUGAGGGAGAACAAGUGAAGUUUGUCUUUCUGUGACUGGCUUGUUUUGCUUAACAUAAUGACCUCCAGUUCCAUCCAUGUUGCUGCAAAUGGCAGGA